rnacentral:lncRNA from 1 species
CAGGGAUGUUUUGAUGCAGUAUGGGACGAAGUGUUGGGCAACACGAAGUUAGCAGUAAUAGUGUAUGUUGUGGCAUUUCUUUUUCAGGUAUGUUAUCAUUAUCAAAAGUGUUGGCUUCUUUCUGUACUAAAUGUUAUGCAUAAAUGACCAUUACUGCUAAAGGAAUGGACUUUUAAAACGACGGGAAACUUUUACCCUUCUGCUGAUUCAACUUCUUUUUAUGUAAAAGCCAUGAUACUCGAUUAUGUUUUCUGUAUGGUGGUUUCUGCUUUUUUACUUGUUUGACUCCCUCUUAAUUUUCUUACUUAAUCAGUAUUUAGUUUCCAAAGGUGUGUUUCUAUAUACUUUUUUGGCAUGGCGUUGAUGAUUUGCUUUCGACUUUAUUUUUGAAAUUGCUUGAAUUUGAUUUUAUAAAGCCAAUUAUGUGUAUUUUUAUGUUAUUUCUCAAUGUAUUUAAAUUAACACAAAUAAAUAAUCCCCAAUUAAUGCUUUUCAAUAUAAUAAUGGCAGCAUGCGGUAUAAAUUAAAUUGAGAAUGGAAAUGGGGAAUGUGUCAAAGAGACAACAACCCGACCAAAGAAAAGACAACAACAGAAGAUCACCAACAGGUCUUCAAUGUAGCGAGAAAUUCCCGCACCCGGAGGCGUCCUUCAGCUGGCCCCUAAACAAAUAUAUACUAUAAAUGUAUUGCUUAGGAACAGCAUACGGCAUAUUUUGUUUUUAGUGAAUUUAAAGGAAAAACAUGCUAUACAGAGGAAAACGUGACCGGUAUGCAGCAGUUCCUCAAUGACAACGUCUUUGUUGAAUUUAGAGGUACACUUUUUCAGUAAGUCUUCGGUAUUCCUAUUGAAACGAAGUGUGCGAAUUUCUCCUUGCCAAGCUCUUCUUAUUUUCAUACGAUUCGGAAUUUUUAUCAGAAAACUGGUAAAAAAAAAUCAAGUAUCCGGAUCAUUUUAUUUCAAAUAUAUUGAUGAUGUUUUGAGCUUUUGAUUUUGCCAUUUGAUAAGGGACUUUCCGUUUUGAGUUUACCUCGGACUUCAGUAUUUUUGUGAUUUUACUUGUUUCCAUCAAUAAUCGAAACGUUUUUUUAAUAAUAAACAACAGGCAUGUUUUUUUCUGCCUCAUUUUAAGACUCAUACAUUGAAUUUUCGUCAUCUCAAUACCAGAAUCUAUGACAAGGGAGACGAUUUUUAAAGUAGAAAUUACAAAUUUUCCCGAUCUUAAAUGAAGUAUACCAACUUUAGUUACCUGCAUAUGAUAUAUCAAUUUUCCAACUCAUUUAAGUGAUUGAAGCUGCCACUCAGACUUUUUACAAUUUCAUCAGUGUCUGAGCUGAAAGUUGAUAGGCCAAGGUUAGGUCAAAUUUCGUCUCAUCUUGAUUCUAAAAAAAUCGUAAAAAGAUAUCAAGACGUUGAUGAUAAAUAAUAGGGUUUCGCUUUUUUUGUCCUUGUAUAUUUUUUUUUAUUAACCUUUACAAUUUAUUCAUUUUUCAUUAUAUAUUUAUGACGUUGAUUUUUGCGUUUGCAUCCCGCCAUUGUGCUAUUGUAAAUAUUCAGUUCUUGUCUUUCAUUCUUCCUGCUGUACUUUGUCCAUACACCAUUUUGCGUGUCUUUGUUAAAACAAAUAUUUGUUUUUAUACUGAAUAAAAUUAUACUACGAUUUUGACUGAUUUACCCCAAUUUUUGACAUUUUUACCUUUUAUGUCUCUCUGUUUUUCUUACACGUUAUUGUGAAUAUUAUGAAAUGAUAUGCGACUGUCAUAAAAGUGAGAAGUUUAAACCACUGUUUUCUACAUAAGUAAAUGCCUAUACCAAGUCAGUAAUACGACAGUUGUUUCUAUUUGUUAGAUAUGUUUGAGCUUUUGAUUUUCUCAUUUCUAAAAAGAUCUUCUGUUGUGAAUAUCCAUUUAUAUUGAAAUCAUGAUUUACAAUUCAAUAUUGGACCAUGUUGUUUCCCGCAAGUAAUGUAUGACCAGAUGCGUCUUUGCAUACGAUAAUGUAAAAUACCUUUUCUUUUGCGUAUUAUUUACGUUUUGAAUUUUCCUCGGUACUUUUGUUAUUUUACUUUUCCUAACGUUUCGGCAUUGCGAAACUGUCUUAUCAAACAGUAUUUUGAUGGGUUUUUUUUUAGCAUGAAACACACUUCAAUGAAUUAACCUUAAUCGUUUUUUAUUGUAAUAAUACUUUGUGUGCAAUCGACAAAUCAUUGUUAAUACAGCUGUUUUUAUACAAAACACAAGGAAAACUAAACACCGAACAACACAAACCCAGCCAAAACUUUAAGGUUAUUUCGUGUGCUCCAAUAGAGUUACAUUUGUGGCACUGUCGUGUAGCUCAUUCUAGUACAAUUCCGGUGAAAAUUAUUAUUCGGUAGGUCAUAUUCGAACACAGCUGUAGUUACGACAAUUGGCACAUUCUGUCGUCGUAUGUGAAACGGUUAUUCCAUAUGCCCGCGUCACACUGUCCUGAUUUUUACGCCGAUGUAAACACGAUUAUGGAAAUUAUGCCCGCGUCACACUGUCCCGAUUUUUACGCCGAUGUAAACACGAUUAUGGAAAUUUUCAAAAUCGGGACUGAUCGUAUCCAGAUCGGGCUAUUCGUUGUGCCAUCUUUAACCAUCUUUAACCAUCGUUCACUUUUUCUAGCCUUCGAGGACAACUUCGGGAAGGGUUCUAAAUUUUUUAACAUGUUAAAAAAUCCCCGAAGGUGCGUCCGAUGUUGAGGGUUCGUAUUGAGUUCGUAUCACCAUCCUCACCAUCGUAAUGUCACCGGGAAUGCAUCUUUGAACAUCGCAUUGCAUUCGUGUUUCCAUCGUUUCCAUCGGGCAGUUUUGACAUUACGAUGUCUAAACGAAUGAAUCACGAAGCUACCCGAAGGUCUUACGAUGGCAACACGGCUUCGUGACGACCUCGUAAUCCCGUCGUGUUGCCAUCGAAUAAAAGUACGAAGGCGACAAGAUGGAACUACGACGGCAAUAAAUCCAGCUUAAUGUAUACUAAGUUAAUUGUCGCGCUAAAAUGCAUUUAAAGUGCCAUGCGCAAUAUGCACUGGUCAGUCUUAUACGACAGUUAAAAAAGACGUUCACAAAACAUGGAGCUUAUAUCAUUUGAUUCUAUGAGAACAAGAAAGGCGACAGCGUUGUUUCUAUUAAUUCAAAUGGAACAAGAAGAGCAGCUAUUACAGGCUCAGGAUUUACUUUCACAAGUAAAUUAUUAUUUUUUGUCAAUUUUUCAUAUCAAGUAACAUAAUGAAAAUCAUAAAUGCGCCUCGUACACCAACACUGCAGGUACACGUAUAUAGGGAACCGACUUUUUCUUCAUUCUUCUGCUGAUUUUUUUAUGUAUCGUCUGAGUUGUUGUCACACGAAUGUUCACUCCAUAACCAUUUUGUUUUCUACAUGUAUAUAUGUCAUAUUUAGUCGCAUUUGUUGCUUUCCAUACAUCCUUCCUUUUGUCUAUAUUAUUAUGAUAUUCUGGAAAGAGCUCUUUUUGAAUAAAAGGGAUCAACGAACCCAUUACCUUACCUUAAAGAUAGAUCAGUAAACAUGGGCAUAACUAUGGGUGAUUAUUCAGACUAGUGCACACCUUUUACAGUUCAAACAAGGCAAUGCCGAGCAUGGCACCCCCAUGUAUGUAACAUAUUUGGGACAAAUAUGGACACUAUAUCUGUAUAUGACACAUGCAGAAAAUGGCAAAUUGAAUAUGCAUAUUUGAUACAUAAACUAUUUUUUUUUUACAAAUCAACCUAAUCAUUCAGUAACUGGAAAUACCUUUAGUAUUGUCUUUAAAACCAGCAGUUCAAAAAAUGAGCAACCAAUUUCUUGUGUAUUAUGCUAUUUGAAGGAGAAAAAACAAGUCCAUCUGCAUGACCUUGACCUUUGGCCUUGAACGUAAAAAAUGUCAAAUCAUUACAAGGAGGAACACUAUACCAAAUGUAGUUAAAAUCUUUUGAAGCGUAUUGGUUUUAGAGUGUCAACAAGGGUGAUAUUGCCUUGUAUUACAACUGUUACCUUGACCUUUGAACUUUAAAGUCAAUAGCGCUUAAUAUAUUCGUAACACCAUAUCAAGUUUUGAGCAUUUCGGUUCUAGAGUGUCCAUUAUAUAAUUUUUUUUCUACACGCAACUUACAUGUAGUAAGCGAUGGGAUAAUAAACUAAGUCUUUUAGACAUCGUAUGGCCAUCGCACCAUCAUCGUAAUCCGUCGUGUAGUCUUCGUAAUCCAUCGUGAAGCCUUCGUGAUCCAUCGUGUAGGCUUCAGCUGAGAUAUGAAGCUUGAAUACCCGUCUUCGGUUAACCUUCGCAUGUUCAUCUUUUGUUAUCGUAUAUCAUUUCAGCACCAUCGCAUAGACUUCGUUAUUCAUCGUACUUGCUUCGGUCACUUUUUGGUAUUUUAACGAGAUCGGGACCAACUACGUACGUACUUACAAUUUUCUCAUUCGGGUGUCAAUCGUAUAUAAAAAUCGGGACAGUGUGACGCGGGCAUAACGGUCAACCGAAGGUCCAAGUGAGCUUUUCUCAUCACUUUGCGUCCGUCGUCCGUCGUCGUUGUCGUCCGGUGUCAUCUGUUAACUUUUACAAAAAUAUUCUCCUCUGAAACUUCUGGGUCAAAUUUAACCAAACUUGGCCAGAAUCAUCAUUAGGGUAUCUAGUUUAAAAAAUGUGUCCGGUGACACGGCUAUCAAUCCAAGAUGGCCGCCAUGGCUAAAAAAGAACAUAGGGGUAAAAUGUAGAUUUUGGCUUACAUCUCUGAAACCAAAGCAUUUACAGCAAAUCUGACAUGGGGUAAAAUUGUUUAUCAGGUCAAGAUCUAUCUGCUCUGAAAUUGUCAGAUGAAUCGGAGAACCCGUUGUUGGGUUGCUGCUACUAAAUUGGGAAUUUUAAGAAAAUUUUGCAGUUUUUGGUUAAUAUCUUGAAUAUUAUUAUAGAUAGAGAUAAACUGUAAACUGCAAUAAUGUUCAGCAAAGAACGAUUUACAACUAAAUCUAACAUGACCAAAAUGGUCAGUGUUGAUCUCCUAAAGAGUAAUUGUCCUUUAUAGUCAAUUAAUAAUAUUUUUUAGUAAAUUUUUGUAAUCUUUCACAAAAAUCUUCUCCUCUAAAACUUCUAAGUCAAAUUUUAACCAAACUUGUCCACAAUCAUCAUAAGGGUAUGUAGUUUAAAAAAAAUGUGUCUGUUGACCCGGCCAGCCAACCAAGAUGGCCGCCAUGGCUAAAAUAGAACAUAGGGGUGAAAUGUAAUUUUUUGCUUAUAACUCUGAAACCAAAGCAUUUGGAGCAAAUCGGCAAAAAAUGAUUAUUAAGUCAAGAUCUAUCUACGCUGAAAUUUUCAGAGGAAUCGGACAACCCGUUGUUGGGUUGCUACCCUUUUAUUGGUAAUUUUAAGGAAAUUUAGCCGUUUUUAGUUUUUAUCUUGAAUAUUAUUAUAGAUAGAGAUAAACUGUAAACAGCAAUAAUGUUCAGCAAAGUAAGAUCUACAAAUAAGUUACAUGAUUAAAAUGGUCAAUCGACCCCUGAAGGAGUUAUUGCCCUUUAUAGUCAUUAUUUACCAAUUUUUCGUCACUGUUUGUCAUCUUUUACAAAAAUCUUCUCCUCUGAUACUUCUGAGUCAAAUUUAACCAAACUUAAGCACAAUCAUUGUAUGGGUAUCUAGUUAUAAAAAUGUGUGCGAUGACCCAGCCAAACAAUCAAGAUGGCGGCCAUGGCUUAAAAAUGAACAUAGGGGUAAAAUGUAGAUUUUGGCUUGUAACUCUAAAACCAUAGGAUUUAGAACAAAUAAAAAAAUGUGGUUAAAUUGUUAAUCAAGUACAUAUCUGUCUGCCCUGAAAUUUUCAGAUGAAUUGGACAACUGGUUGUUGGGUUGCUGCCCUCCGAUUGGUAAUUUUGAAUUUUUGCCAUUUUUUGUUAUUAUCGUGUAUACUGUUAUAGAUAGAGAUAAACUGUAAACAGCAAUAAUGUUCAGCAAAGUAAGAUAUGAAUAUAUGACAACAUGACCAAAUGGUCAGUUGACUCCUGAAGGAGUUAUUGCCCUUUUUAGUCAAUUUUUAUCAGUUGUCAUGAAUCCAUCUGUGUCCUUCAUAGACCAAGGUGAGCGACACAGGCUCUUUAUAGCCUCUAGUUAUAUGAAUCAUAUGAAUCAGAAUUCCUUCAGACACCUGUCAAAAACAAGAAGAUCAAAGAAGCCAUGUCAUUUAAUUCAUAUUCAGAUAUAUUGAUGAUGUUUUUUUCAUUAACAAUCCCAAUGUUGCUGAUUAUAUUCCAUCGAUAUAUCCCCCAGAACUAGAAGUUAUAGUUACAACAGACAAGGUUUCCUCCGACUCAUUGUAUGUCUUAUAACUUCAAAGACGUUAAAUGACACAGACAUUAAUAACAAUAAGUCACUGUACGACCUUCGGCUAUGAGCAAAGCCCAUACCGCAUAGUAAGCUAUGCAAGGCCCCGAAAUGUCAAAUGCAAAACAAUUCAAACGAGAAAACUAACGGCCUUAUUAAUGUACAAUAAAUGAACGAAAAACAAAUAUGUAAGACAUUAACAAACACCAACCACUAAAAUACAGACUCCUGAUGUAUUUGUGGUAGCCAUUUGGUGUGACUCUGUACUUAUACAUCCCGUCAUUGUGUUAUUGUUCUAUGAUAAAUUUUGCAUUCUUUCCUUUUAUGUUUGCUUAUAAGAUUUUUCCAUAUGCCUUUCAUGUGUUUUGUUUACAUAUGAAGAGGCUUUGUACUUUUACAUUCCAUCAUUGUGUUAUCAUUCUAUGAUAAUUUCUGUAUUCUUAAAAUUGGGAAUGGAAAUGUUGAAUAUGUCAAAGAGACAACAACCUGACAAAAGAGCAGAGAAAAGCAGAAGGCUAGCAAUGGACCUUUAACGCACGAUAACUCUCGCACCAGGAGGUUGUCCUCAGCUGGCCUCUCAAUGAAAUUGUGUACGAGUGAAAAAGCACACUAAAAUCCCAAAACAAAUAAAUGAACUUAAAUUGAAAAAUAUACAUGACUCACAAAGGCCAGAGGUACCCAACUUUGGACAAAUACUGUUUUACAUUUUUUACCUAUUAUAUAUGUUUGAGUUGUUCACACAUUGUUGUCAAUAUAAAAGAAUUUUAUGCGACUGCCGUACAAGUGAGAUGUUUAGCUAGCUAUAAAAACCAGGUUUAAUCCACUAGUUUUUAUAUAAGAAAAUGCCUGUACCAAAUCAGGAAUAUAAAUACAGUUGUAGUCUAUUCGUUUGGUGUGUUCGAGCUUUUUUGCCUUUUUAUUAGGGACUUUCUGUUUUGAAUCAUAAAAGGAGUAAGUCCAGAUUCGCCGAACGGAGUUACUUGUUCUCCUUCAAAAUGCGUACAUGCAUCACUGACCAUGCAAGUUAGCACACAUUGAAUAGGAAAUACAUUUGUAAUUGAUAAAACUACGGCUAAGCUGCCUAUUCAAGUAUCUUCAGAUCUUAGAUCACGAAAAGCAUGUCGCUAGAAAUUCAACAUAUAGACAUGUGUUGUGUCUUUUUUAAGGCUUGGUUGUUUAUAUUGUGUCUGUUACUAAGUCUUUGGUUUUCUAUGUUGUGUUAAGGGGACUACUGUUUGUUUUUUCGUCGUUUCGUGUAAUUAUCAAUAUUGUGUGAUAUUGUCAAAAUAAAAAAGAAGAUGUGGUAUUAUUGUCAAUCACACAACUCUCCACAAGAGACCAAAUGACACAGAAAUAAACAACUGUAUGUCACCGUACGGCCUUCAACAAUGAGCAAAGCCCAUACCGCAAAAUCAACUAUAAAAGUUUCCGUAAUGACAUUGUAAAACAAUUAAAAGAAAUAACUAACGGUCAAUUUUUGUUCAAAAAUGAACGAAAAACAAAUGUGCAACACAUAAACAAGCGACACCACUGAAUUACAGGCUCCUGGCAUGGGACAAGCAUACACAUAAAGACUGUAGGGUGGGGUUAGGGUAAAACAUGUUAGUGAGAAUCCAACCCUCACCUAAACGAGGGACGAAAGAUACCAGAGGAACAGUCAAAUUCAUAAAUCGGAAAUAAACUGACAACGCCUGGCUAAAAAUGAAAGAUGACAAAAAGGGAAACAAAAGAACACAUGACACAACAAAGCAAACUAAAGAAUAAUUAACACGAGCCCCACCAAAAGCUAGGGGUGAUCUCAGGUGCUCGGGAAGGGUAAGCAGAUCCUGCUCUACAUGUGGCACCCGUCGUGUUGCUUAUGUUGUAACAAAUCCGGUUAAUAGUCUUAUUUGGUAGGUCAUAUUCAUGAAAGGGAAGGGGUUGUAGUUACGACGUAAGGAACAUAUCCGAUAUCAUUUGUGAAACGGUUAUUCCAUAACGGUCAACCAACUCGUGGUGGCGUCCGUAAAAUUUACGAAGGGAUGAUUUCAACUUCACCAUUUGGAACUAUUGGUUUAAUAGCUUCCUUGUGAGCAGCAACCCUUCAUUCAGAAAAUCAUGAUAGGAAAUGCAAGCACAGGAAUUUUGUAUCAAUUGUGAGAUAUAUACCCCGUAUGCAGGUGCUGUUGGAAUGUUGCUACUUAGAAAAUGAAAGUUCACAAUUGGAAAGCUGAAAUCAUCUCUUUUGUCGUAAAGUUUUGUUUUCAACCGACCCAUUGUCAAUUUCUUGAUGUAAGUCAAGAUAUGAGGCUGACUUAACUGUAUCUAUUGUAUCCUUUAUCUCUAGCUCGAUGGGAUAGAUGCAUUGAACAUAGUCACCAAAUAUUGAAUUAUUUAGUGAAAGAACGUCAUCUUUAUAGCGGAAAGUAGAGUUAAAGGAUAUUGCUAACUUUCUUCCUAAGAAGUUCCUGUAUGAUGUCAGCCUCAUAAUAAUAAAGAAACAAGUCGGCAAGAAGAGGGGCAUAAUUGGUUCCCAUUGGAAUGCCGUCAGUCUGUUGAAAAACAUGUCCUCUAAAAGUAACAAAUAUGUUGUCAAUCAAAAAAUUAAGUAUCUUGAUAUUGUCAGUUUCAGAGAAAAAUUUUUUUUUGAAUCAGAGUGAUCCUUUACAAAGUAGGAUUUAUCCCUCUCUAAAGUUACACCACUUUCCCUAACCUGGGACAGUGGUGUCACAGUUCAACAUUAGAACGGAGUAUGCAAAUUUGUUGAAAAAGGUUUGUCAGUAUGUUUUCUACUUAUGAUUUUGAAUAUAUCUUUUUGUACAAAAAUGUAACUUUCGCCCAUCUUUUAUCGUAUUAACUAAAUUUGAAGGAAAUAGAAAACGUAAGAUUUAAUUAUUUAUUAUGCUCCGUAACGAAUGUUUCAAAGUUUCUCUUUAUUUUUCAAGGUAUUGCUGAUAAUAUUUUCCUACUUGAUGUAUAUCGAUGGUAAGAAGAAGGGAAACAAAGUGUACCCUAAAGCUUAGCCAAGAAAACAGACUUCUGAGGAAUAUUGGUCCUCAAUGGAGAGAAGGGAA